AAUUGGAGGGCAAGUCUGGUGCCAGCAGCCGCGGUAAUUCCAGCUCCAAUAGCGUAUAUUAAAGUUGUUGCAGUUAAAAAGCUCGUAGUUGAAUUUCGGGAUCAAUAUUUCGGUCAUGCCGUUGGUAUGCACUGUUAUCAUUGAUUUCUCACCUUCUAAAGAACCGUAAUGCCAUUAAUUUGGUGUUACGGGGAAUUAGGACUGUUACCUUGAAAAAAUUAGAGUGUUUAAAGCAGGCUCACGCUUGAAUACAUUAGCAUGGAAUAAUGAAAUAGGACAUCCGAUUCUAUUUUGUUGGUUCCUAGGAUCGAUGUAAUGAUUAAUAGGGAUAGUUGGGGGCAUUAGUAUUCAAUUGUCAGAGGUGAAAUUCUUGGAUUUAUUGAAGACUAACUACUGCGAAAGCAUUUGCCAAGGAUGUUUUCAUUAAUCAAGAACGAAAGUUAGGGGAUCGAAGACGAUCAGAUACCGUCGUAGUCUUAACCAUAAACUAUGCCGACUAGGGAUCGGAUGAUGUUAAUUUUUUAAUGACUCAUUCGGCGCCUUACGGGAAACCAAAGUGU
rnacentral:rRNA from 1 species